AUUGAACGCUGGCGGCAGGCCUAACACAUGCAAGUCGGACGGUAGCACAGAGGAGCUUGCUCCUUGGGUGACGAGUGGCGGACGGGUGAGUAAUGUCUGGGGAUCUGCCCGAUAGAGGGGGAUAACCACUGGAAACGGUGGCUAAUACCGCAUAACGACGCAAGACCAAAGAGGGGGACCUUCGGGCCUCUCACUAUCGGAUGAACCCAGAUGGGAUUAGCUAGUAGGCGGGGUAAUGGCCCACCUAGGCGACGAUCCCUAGCUGGUCUGAGAGGAUGACCAGCCACACUGGAACUGAGACACGGUCCAGACUCCUACGGGAGGCAGCAGUGGGGAAUAUUGCACAAUGGGCGCAAGCCUGAUGCAGCCAUGCCGCGUGUAUGAAGAAGGCCUUCGGGUUGUAAAGUACUUUCAGCGGGGAGGAAGGCGAUGCGGUUAAUAACCGCAUCGAUUGACGUUACCCGCAGAAGAAGCACCGGCUAACUCCGUGCCAGCAGCCGCCGUAA
rnacentral:rRNA from 1 species